UUUUAUGAGAGUUUGAUCCUGGCUCAGGACGAACGCUGGCGGCGUGCCUAAUACAUGCAAGUCGAACGCUUCUUUUUCCACCGGAGCUUGCUCCAUCGGAAAAAGAGGAGUGGCGAACGGGUGAGUAACACGUGGGUAACCUGCCCAUCAGAAGGGGAUAACACUUGGAAACAGGUGCUAAUACCGUAUAACAAUCGAAACCACAUGGUUUUGAUUUGAAAGGCGCUUUCGGGUGUCGCUGAUGGAUGGACCCGCGGUGCAUUAGCUAGUUGGUGAGGUAACGGCUCACCAAGGCGACGAUGCAUAGCCGACCUGAGAGGGUGAUCGGCCACAUUGGGACUGAGACACGGCCCAAACUCCUACGGGAGGCAGCAGUAGGGAAUCUUCGGCAAUGGACGAAAGUCUGACCGAGCAACGCCGCGUGAGUGAAGAAGGUUUUCGGAUCGUAAAACUCUGUUGUUAGAGAAGAACAAGGAUGAGAGUAACUGUUCAUCCCUUGACGGUAUCUAACCAGAAAGCCACGGCUAACUACGUGCCAGCAGCCGCGGUAAUACGUAGGUGGCAAGCGUUGUCCGGAUUUAUUGGGCGUAAAGCGAGCGCAGGCGGUUUCUUAAGUCUGAUGUGAAAGCCCCGGCUCAACCGGGGAGGGUCAUUGGAAACUGGGAGACUUGAGUGCAGAAGAGGAGAGUGGAAUUCCAUGUGUAGCGGUGAAAUGCGUAGAUAUAUGGAGGAACACCAGUGGCGAAGGCGGCUCUCUGGUCUGUAACUGACGCUGAGGCUCGAAAGCGUGGGGAGCAAACAGGAUUAGAUACCCUGGUAGUCCACGCCGUAAACGAUGAGUGCUAAGUGUUGGAGGGUUUCCGCCCUUCAGUGCUGCAGCUAACGCAUUAAGCACUCCGCCUGGGGAGUACGACCGCAAGGUUGAAACUCAAAGGAAUUGACGGGGGCCCGCACAAGCGGUGGAGCAUGUGGUUUAAUUCGAAGCAACGCGAAGAACCUUACCAGGUCUUGACAUCCUUUGACCACUCUAGAGAUAGAGCUUCCCCUUCGGGGGCAAAGUGACAGGUGGUGCAUGGUUGUCGUCAGCUCGUGUCGUGAGAUGUUGGGUUAAGUCCCGCAACGAGCGCAACCCUUAUUGUUAGUUGCCAUCAUUUAGUUGGGCACUCUAGCAAGACUGCCGGUGACAAACCGGAGGAAGGUGGGGAUGACGUCAAAUCAUCAUGCCCCUUAUGACCUGGGCUACACACGUGCUACAAUGGGAAGUACAACGAGUCGCAAAGUCGCGAGGCUAAGCUAAUCUCUUAAAGCUUCUCUCAGUUCGGAUUGUAGGCUGCAACUCGCCUACAUGAAGCCGGAAUCGCUAGUAAUCGCGGAUCAGCACGCCGCGGUGAAUACGUUCCCGGGCCUUGUACACACCGCCCGUCACACCACGAGAGUUUGUAACACCCGAAGUCGGUGAGGUAACCUUUUGGAGCCAGCCGCCUAAGGUGGGAUAGAUGAUUGGGGUGAAGUCGUAACAAGGUAGCCGUAUCGGAAGGUGCGGCUGGAUCACCUCCUUU
rnacentral:rRNA from 1 species